CCCGCGGGCGCGCCGCUGAGGGGACGAGUGUCGCCGAGCAGCCGGGGCCUUGGCCGGUGGCGGGGUCCGGGAAGGUCCCCGUCGCCUCCGUGCUCCUCGUUCAGGCCGUAAGGGGGCAACCGGGGAGAAGGUCCCGCCAAUGAGGGGUUUUGCGGGCGGGCCGGCGGAGUAAGCGGCGCCUCCUGUUCCUCCAGCGGGCCACCCGCCCGCUCCCCCACCGCCGCCGGCUCCGGCUCGGCGCAAAGGAUUGAUGUUUAUUCACCAGGCGGUAAAACCGCUCCAGCCGCCCCGGCUUAUUUAUCGCCGCAGUGCAGUGUGACUUGUGAGGAGUUCCCUUCCCUGAAGCCUGGACCUGGGUGGUGGUUUUUCUUUUGUGGCCUAGCAAGAAACGAUUUCCUUUCCUGAGCUGUUGGCAUCUUCUUGCCUGGAUUUAGUCAUAGAGGAAUGCAGCUGAUAAGUCCUUAACCACUCUGUGCUCCUAUAGGCAGCACCAGAAGCUGGCUUCAUCUUCUUCACUUUGGCACUUUGGGGGUGGUCCUCUCUCUGUUACCUGCUCUGGGUACCUUUUUAGUGGCACCGUAGACCAAAGGAGAUGGAAGAAAAGGAGCGAUGUGAUAAAUUCCAUCUGGUACCUUGA